GACGAACGCUGGCGGCGUGCCUAACACAUGCCAGUCGAGCGACGAACCGGGGCUUGCUCCGGGGCAGAGCCGCGAACGGGUGAGUAACACGUGUGUGACCUGCCCCGCUGACUGGGACAACCCGUCGAAAGACGGGCUACUACCGUACGUGCCCCUUGGGGCAAAGGAAGCUUCGGCCCCGGCAUCGGGCUGGGCCCGCGGCGCAUUAGCUUGUUGGUGGGGUAAUGGCGUACCAAGGCGACGAUGCGUAGCUGGUCUGAGAGGACGAUCAGCCACACUGGAACUGAGACACGGCCCAGACUCCUACGGGAGGCAGCAGUGGGGAAUCUUGCACAAUGGGCGAAAGCGUGAUGCAGCAACGCCGCGUGCGGGAAGAAGGCCUUAGGGUUGUAAAGCGCUUUCAGUUGGGAAGAAGCUCCGUUCGUGAAUAGCGGUUUGGGGUGACGGUACCUACAGAAGAAGCGCCGGCUAACUACGUG
rnacentral:rRNA from 1 species